GACGAACGCUGGCGGCGUGCUUAACACAUGCAAGUCGAACGAUGAUGCUGGAGCUUGCUCCAGUUGAUUAGUGGCGAACGGGUGAGUAACACGUGAGCAAUCUGCCCUUGACUCUGGGAUAACUGCGGGAAACUGUAGCUAAUACCGGAUACUUUCACCGGAAGGCAUCUUCUGGUGAUGAAAGAAUUUCGGUCAGGGAUGAGCUCGCGGCCUAUCAGCUUGUUGGUGAGGUAACGGCUCACCAAGGCGACGACGGGUAGCCGGCCUGAGAGGGUGCCCGGCCACACUGUGACUGGGACACGGCCCAGACUCCUCCGGGAGGCAGCAGUGGGGAAUAUUGCCCAAUGGGCGCAAGCCUGAUGCAGCCACGCCGCGUGAGGGAUGAAGGCCUUCGGGUUGUAAACCUCUUUUAGCAGGGAAGAAGCGAAAGUGACGGUACCUGCAGAAAAAGCACCGGCUAACUACGUGCCAGCCGCCGCGGUAA
rnacentral:rRNA from 1 species